UACGAAGGUCCCGAGCGUUGUUCGGAAUUACUGGGCGUAAAGCGUGCGCAGGCGGUGAUGUAAGACCGAUGUGAAAUCCCCGGGCUUAACCUGGGAACUGCAUUGGUGACUGCAUCGCUCGAGUAUGGCAGAGGGGGGUAGAAUUCCACGUGUAGCAGUGAAAUGCGUAGAGAUGUGGAGGAAUACCGAUGGCGAAGGCAGCCCCCUGGGUCAAUACUGACGCUCAUGCACGAAAGCGUGGGGAGCAAACAGG
rnacentral:rRNA from 1 species